rnacentral:rRNA from 1 species
CUCAGUUCGGAUCGGAGUCUGCAACUCGACUCCGUGAAGCUGGAUUCGCUAGUAAUCGCGCAUCAGCCAUGGCGCGGUGAAUACGUUCCCGGGCCUUGUACACACCGCCCGUCAAGCCAUGGGAGCCGGGGGUACCUGAAGUCCGUAACCGCGAGGAUCGGCCUAGGGUAAAACUGGUGACUGGGGCUAAGUCGUAACAAGGUAUC